rnacentral:rRNA from 1 species
AACGAACGCUGGCGGCAGGCCUAACACAUGCAAGUCGAGCGAGGUAGCAAUACCUAGCGGCGGACGGGUGAGUAACGCGUGGGAACGUACCCUUUGCUACGGAAUAGCCCCGGGAAACUGGGAGUAAUACCGUAUGUGCCCUUCGGGGGAAAGAUUUAUCGGCAAAGGAUCGGCCCGCGUUGGAUUAGGUAGUUGGUGGGGUAAUGGCCUCCAAAAAGCCGACGAUCCAUAGCUGGUUUGAGAGGAUGAUCAGCCACACUGGGACUGAGACACGGCCCAGACUCCUACGGGAGGCAGCAGUGGGGAAUCUUAGACAAUGGGCGCAAGCCUGAUCUAGCCAUGCCGCGUGAGUGAUGAAGGCCUUAGGGUUGUAAAGCUCUUUCAGAUGGGAAGAUAAUGACGGUACCAUCAGAAGAAGCCCCGGCUAACUCCGUG